rnacentral:rRNA from 1 species
GGGUUGUGAGGUUAAGCGACUAAGCGUACACGGUGGAUGCCCUGGCAGUCAGAGGCGAUGAAGGACGUGCUAAUCUGCGAUAAGCGUCGGUAAGGUGAUAUGAACCGUUAUAACCGGCGAUUUCCGAAUGGGGAAACCCAGUGUGAUUCGUCACACUAUCAUUAACUGAAUCCAUAGGUUAAUGAGGCGAACCGGGGGAACUGAAACAUCUAAGUACCCCGAGGAAAAGAAAUCAACCGAGAUUCCCCCAGUAGCGGCGAGCGAACGGGGAGCAGCCCAGAGCCUGAAUCAGUAUGUGUGUUAGUGGAAGCGUCUGGAAAGGCGUGCGAUACAGGGUGACAGCCCCGUACACAAAAAUGCACAUGCUGUGAGCUCGAUGAGUAGGGCGGGACACGUGGUAUCCUGUCUGAAUAUGGGGGGACCAUCCUCCAAGGCUAAAUACUCCUGACUGACCGAUAGUGAACCAGUACCGUGAGGGAAAGGCGAAAAGAACCCCGGCGAGGGGAGUGAAAAAGAACCUGAAACCGUGUACGUACAAGCAGUGGGAGCCUCUUUAAUGGGGUGACUGCGUACCUUUUGUAUAAUGGGUCAGCGACUUAUAUUCUGUAGCAAGGUUAACCGAAUAGGGGAGCCGAAGGGAAACCGAGUCUUAACUGGGCGUUAAGUUGCAGGGUAUAGACCCGAAACCCGGUGAUCUAGCCAUGGGCAGGUUGAAGGUUGGGUAACACUAACUGGAGGACCGAACCGACUAAUGUUGAAAAAUUAGCGGAUGACUUGUGGCUGGGGGUGAAAGGCCAAUCAAACCGGGAGAUAGCUGGUUCUCCCCGAAAGCUAUUUAGGUAGCGCCUCGUGAAUUCAUCUCCGGGGGUAGAGCACUGUUUCGGCAAGGGGGUCAUCCCGACUUACCAACCCGAUGCAAACUGCGAAUACCGGAGAAUGUUAUCACGGGAGACACACGGCGGGUGCUAACGUCCGUCGUGAAGAGGGAAACAACCCAGACCGCCAGCUAAGGUCCCAAAGUCAUGGUUAAGUGGGAAACGAUGUGGGAAGGCCCAGACAGCCAGGAUGUUGGCUUAGAAGCAGCCAUCAUUUAAAGAAAGCGUAAUAGCUCACUGGUCGAGUCGGCCUGCGCGGAAGAUGUAACGGGGCUAAACCAUGCACCGAAGCUGCGGCAGCGACACUAUGUGUUGUUGGGUAGGGGAGCGUUCUGUAAGCCGUUGAAGGUGGCCUGUGAGGGUUGCUGGAGGUAUCAGAAGUGCGAAUGCUGACAUAAGUAACGAUAAAGCGGGUGAAAAGCCCGCUCGCCGGAAGACCAAGGGUUCCUGUCCAACGUUAAUCGGGGCAGGGUGAGUCGACCCCUAAGGCGAGGCCGAAAGGCGUAGUCGAUGGGAAACAGGUUAAUAUUCCUGUACUUGGUGUUACUGCGAAGGGGGGACGGAGAAGGCUAUGUUGGCCGGGCGACGGUUGUCCCGGUUUAAGCGUGUAGGCUGAUUUUCCAGGCAAAUCCGGAGAAUCAAGGCUGAGGCGUGAUGACGAGGCACUACGGUGCUGAAGCAACAAAUGCCCUGCUUCCAGGAAAAGCCUCUAAGCAUCAGGUAACAUCAAAUCGUACCCCAAACCGACACAGGUGGUCAGGUAGAGAAUACCAAGGCGCUUGAGAGAACUCGGGUGAAGGAACUAGGCAAAAUGGUGCCGUAACUUCGGGAGAAGGCACGCUGAUGGUAGGUGAAGCGACUUGCUCGUGGAGCUGAAAUCAGUCGAAGAUACCAGCUGGCUGCAACUGUUUAUUAAAAACACAGCACUGUGCAAACACGAAAGUGGACGUAUACGGUGUGACGCCUGCCCGGUGCCGGAAGGUUAAUUGAUGGGGUCAGCCGCAAGGCGAAGCUCUUGAUCGAAGCCCCGGUAAACGGCGGCCGUAACUAUAACGGUCCUAAGGUAGCGAAAUUCCUUGUCGGGUAAGUUCCGACCUGCACGAAUGGCGUAAUGAUGGCCAGGCUGUCUCCACCCGAGACUCAGUGAAAUUGAACUCGCUGUGAAGAUGCAGUGUACCCGCGGCAAGACGGAAAGACCCCGUGAACCUUUACUAUAGCUUGACACUGAACAUUGAGCCUUGAUGUGUAGGAUAGGUGGGAGGCUUUGAAGUGUGGACGCCAGUCUGCAUGGAGCCGACCUUGAAAUACCACCCUUUAAUGUUUGAUGUUCUAACGUGGACCCGUGAUCCGGGUUGCGGACAGUGUCUGGUGGGUAGUUUGACUGGGGCGGUCUCCUCCUAAAGAGUAACGGAGGAGCACGAAGGUUGGCUAAUCCUGGUCGGACAUCAGGAGGUUAGUGCAAUGGCAUAAGCCAGCUUGACUGCGAGCGUGACGGCGCGAGCAGGUGCGAAAGCAGGUCAUAGUGAUCCGGUGGUUCUGAAUGGAAGGGCCAUCGCUCAACGGAUAAAAGGUACUCCGGGGAUAACAGGCUGAUACCGCCCAAGAGUUCAUAUCGACGGCGGUGUUUGGCACCUCGAUGUCGGCUCAUCACAUCCUGGGGCUGAAGUAGGUCCCAAGGGUAUGGCUGUUCGCCAUUUAAAGUGGUACGCGAGCUGGGUUUAGAACGUCGUGAGACAGUUCGGUCCCUAUCUGCCGUGGGCGCUGGAGAACUGAGGGGGGCUGCUCCUAGUACGAGAGGACCGGAGUGGACGCAUCACUGGUGUUCGGGUUGUCAUGCCAAUGGCACUGCCCGGUAGCUAAAUGCGGAAGAGAUAAGUGCUGAAAGCAUCUAAGCACGAAACUUGCCCCGAGAUGAGUUCUCCCUGAGACUUUAAGUCUCCUGAAGGAACGUUGAAGACGACGACGUUGAUAGGCCGGGUGUGUAAGCGCAGCGAUGCGUUGAGCUAACCGGUACUAAUGAACCGUGAGGCUUAACCUUACAACGCCGAAG